GGCGAUCAUUGCCUCUGAACUUUGUUCCUGGCUCAGGGCCAUCCUAGGUGGGGUCCUUCCUAGGUGACUCUGGUCUUUUGCUUCUUCAGGUUACCAUCAGCCUGAUACUUGUCAUUGGACUUAAUGCCACCUAGCAAACCAAGAUGAUUUUGACCGGGAAGACUUAAUUGCAUCUCUGAAGACCACUUCCACUCCUACUAAGGUUACUUAAUAAGUGCUGAGUCUCGCACAGAAAUUCAACCUGCAUUCAACCCACCAUAGGGGACGCAAGGAUUUCUCCAUAUAGCUCUGGAUGUCCUGGAACUCACUCUGUAAACUAAGCUGGCCUCAAACUCACAGUGUCUAUGAGUGCUGAGAUUCAAGGCAUGCACCACCACUGCCUGGAAGUAUUCGUCAGCUUGACACUGUGAAGAGGAAUCUCAAUUGAGAAUGCCUGCAUCCCAUCCACCUGUGGUGCAUUUUCUUGAUGGAUGAUUGAUGUGGGCGGGUCCAGCUCCCUGUGGGUGGCGUCACUCCCUGGCAGGUGGUGCUGGGCUGGAAAAGAAAGCAGAAGGAGCAAGCCAGUCAGCAGCUCUGUGACCUCGAUGCCAGCCCCUGCCUCUAGCUUCCCGCCUUGAGUUCAUACCCUGGCUUUCCUCAGUUACUGACAGUAAAGUGCUGAGAAUUCUGUAUCACCUCCAGCUUUCUGUCCAAUGGCAUGGAGUAUUCAGGUGGAGGAGCAGGGUUGCCUGAAUAUGACGAUCUCCCACCCAGGAGCAGAAAACUCUGACUACCCUGCUGGCUGCUGGCUGCUGCCUCCUGGGGAUGCUCCCAGCCACUACGCUGGGGACUUAUCCAGUUCUCUUCCUGCAGCCGGCCAUGACGAAGCAAGUGGAACUGAGAGUGUGUGGAGGGAGAAAAGAGGUGACCUGCGUGGAGGGAGACCUUUCAGAAGCCAACCAGCCGUCCUCGGGGGGAGGCUGUGCAAG
rnacentral:lncRNA from 1 species